GGUAACUGCAUCUGCUUAUCAGAUCUGUUCAGAGCCGACCCUCCGUCACACCUUUGUGUUUCCCAGUAAUUCUGCCUGGCAGUUGCCGUGGCUCCUCGUUCGGAUCGGCUUU
rnacentral:misc_RNA from 1 species